rnacentral:rRNA from 1 species
GAUGAACGCUGGCGGCGUGCCUAAUACAUUCAAGUCGAGCGAACGGACGAGAAGCUUGCUUUUCUGAUGUUAGCGGCGGACGGGUGAGUAACACGUGGAUAACCUACCUAUAAGACUGGGAUAACUUCGGGAAACCGGAGCUAGUACCGGAUAAUAUUUUGAACCGCAUGGUUCAAAAGUGAAAGACGGUCUUGCUGUCACUUAUAGAUGGAUCCGCGCUGCAUUAGCUAGUUGGUAAGGUAACGGCUUACCAAGGCAACGAUGCAUAGCCGACCUGAGAGGGUGAUCGGCCACACUGGAACUGAGACACGGUCCAGACUCCUACGGGAGGCAGCAGUAGGGAAUCUUCCGCAAUGGGCGAAAGCCUGACGGAGCAACGCCGCGUGAGUGAUGAAGGUCUUCGGAUCGUAAAACUCUGUUAUUAGGGAAGAACAUAUGUGUAAGUAACUGUGCACAUCUUGACGGUACCUAAUCAGAAAGCCACGGCUAACUACGUG